AACAUGGUGAAACCCCGUCUCUACUAAAAAUACAAAAAAUUAGCUGGGCAUGGUGGCACGUGCCUGUAAUCCCAGCUACUCAGGAGGCUGAGGCGGGAGAAUUGCCUGAACCCAGUAGGCGGAGGUUGCGGUGAGCCGAGAUCGUGCCAUUGCACUCCAGCCUGGGUAACAAGAGCGAAACUCCGUCUCAAUAAAAAGGUAACAAACACAUAAGGUAAAACAUUCAAACAAUAUGAAUAGGGAAAAAAGAUCAUGUGUAAAUGUGUCUUUAUCCUUAAAUAAAUAAGAACAUUAUAUAUUGUCCUUUUCUUUCCUUUUAAUAUUAAAAGGAAGGAUGAUCCUGGAAGCCUGAAGGACUUGGUGACAGGGGACAGAGCUGAAGCUUGGAGUGUCCCUACAUUAACUAGCUUAUCCCAUUUUAUGAAUGAAGAAAUGCAUACGUUCAGAGAUACUAAAUGCAGACCCAUUUUGUUUUAUGGUGUUUUGCUUUGGUAUGCUCCGCAGAUAUUUUGUUUUCUGCAAAUUGAAGGUUGUGACAACCCUGUGUGGGACAAGUCUAAUGGUGCCAUUUUUCCAACAGAAUAUGCUCACUUCAUGUCUCUGUGUCACAUUUUGGUAGUUCUAGCAAUAUCUUAUACUCUUUCAUUGCUAUUACAUCUGUUGCAGUGAUCUGUGGUCUUUGAUGUUAUUAUUGUAAUUGUUUUGGGGUGCCACCAACCAUGCUCAUAUAAGACAGUGAUCUUAGUGAAUAAAUGUCAUGUACUUUGCCCCAGACUGGUUGUUUCUCAUCUCCCUCCCUCUCCUCCGGCCUCCCUAUUCCCUGAGACACAUCAAUAUUGAAAUUAGGCUAAUUAAUAACCCUACAAUGGCCUCUCAGUGUUCAAGUGAAAGGAGCAGUCACGCGUCUCUCACUUUAACUCAACAGCUAGAAAUGGUUAUGUUGAGUGAGGGAGGCACAUUGAAAGUUGAGCCAGGUGGAAAGUUUGGCCUCUUGUACCAAACAGUGAAGUUGUGAAUGCAAAGGGAAAGUUCUUGAAGGAAAUGGAGAGUGUUGCUCCGAUGAACACACAAAUGAUAAAAAAGCAAAACAGCCUUAUUGCUGACACUGAGAAAGUUAUGGUGGUCUGGAUAGAAGAUUAAACCAGCCACAACAUUUCCUUAAGCCAAAGCCUAAUUCAGAGCAAGGCCCAACUCUCUUCAAUUCUGUGAAGGCUGAGAGAAGUGAGGAAGCAGCAGAAGAAAAGUACGAUGACAGUAGAGGUUGGUUCAAGAGGUUUAAGGAAAGAGGCCUCCUCCAUAACAGAAAAAUGCAAGGAGAAGCAGCAAUGCUGAUGUGGAAGCUACAGCAAGUUAUUCAGAAGAUCUAGGAUCAUUGAUAAAAGUGGCUAAACAGCAGAUUUCCAAUGUAGACCAAAAAAGCCUUCUAUUGGAAGAAGACGGUAUCUAGGACUUUUAUAGUUAAAGAGGAGAAGUCGAUGACUGGCUUAAAAGCUUCAAAGAAGGUUAGUGAAAUAUGCACAAGUUUAAAUAACAGAAUGGAUCAAGCAGAAGAAAGGAUAUCAGAGGUCGAAGACCAACUUAAUGAAAUAAAAUGACAAGACAAGAAUAGAGAAAAAAGGAUGAAAAGGAAUGAGCAAAGUCUCCAAGAAAUAUAGGACUAUGUGAAAAGACCCAAUCUACAUUUGAUUGGUGUACCUGAAUGUGAUGGAGAGAAUGAAUCCAAGCUGGAAAAUACUUUUCAGGAUAUUAUCCAGGAAAAUUUUCCCAAUCUAGCAAAGCAGGACACUAUUCAACCCCAGGUAAUACAGAGAACACCACAAAGAUAUUCCUCAAGAAGAGCAACCCCAAGGCACAUAUUCGUUAGAUUCACCAGGAUCGAAACGAAGGAGAAAAUACUAAGGGCAGCCAGAGAGAAAGGCCAGGUUACCCAUAAAGGGAAGCCUAUUAGACUUACAGCAGAUCUCUCAGCGGAAACCCUACAAGCUUGAAGAGAGUGGGGGCCAAUAUUCAAUAUACUUAAAGAACAGAACUUUCAGCCUAGAAUCUCAUAUCCUGCCAAACUAAGCUUCACAAUUGAAGGAAAAAUAAAAUCUUUUAUGAACAAGCAAGUACUCAGAGAUUUUAUUACCACCAGGCCUGCUUUACAAGAACUUCUGAAAGAAGCAUUAUACAUAGAAAGGAACAACCAGUAUGAGCCUUUCUAAAAAUAUACCAAAAAGUAAAGAGCAUCAACAUAAAGAAGAAUUUACAUAAAACACCCAGUUAACAUCAAAUGGCAGUAACCCUAAAUUUAAAUCGACUAAAUCCCCCAAUCAAAAGAUACAGCCAAAACUUAAUGGUAUAUCCAAAGAUACACAAAGACUCAAAACAAAGGGUUGAAGAAAAAUUUACCAACCAAAUGGAGAGCAAAAAUAAAUAAAUAAACAAAAAGCAGGAGUUGCAAUUCUCACAUUUGAUAAAAUAGAUUUCAAAGCAACAAAGAUACAGUGGUAAAAGAAUCAAUGCAACAGUAAGAGAUCUUAAUACCCAGAUACAUAAGACCCAUAACGAGAUUUAGACUCAACGAGACAGAAAAUUAAUAAGGAUAUCCAGGACUUCAACUCAGAUCCGGAACAAGUAAACUCAGUAAGUAUUUAUAGAGUUCUCCAUUUUAAACACACAAAAUAUUGAUCAGCCAUUAUUAAUACCCAUUUUUUAGAAUGAAGCAAUAUUCCUGAUUCCUGUUCUCUCUUCCUCUUUUUCUUCCUCUUUCUUCCUCUCCUUCUCUCCUUUUUUUACUUUUCAACAUCCUAGUUCCUCACUUUUACUCAAUACAUUCCUCUGAACACCUGAUUCCUUGUGAUUCUCCUGUCCCACUGAAACCUCCAAUCCAUUAAAAAAAAAAGUAAUCCCUGGGAAUGAAGGCAAGAGGGAAAAGAUCGUUAGUACAAAUACCUAGUGCAUGCGAGGCUUAAAACCUCAAUGAUGGGUUGAUAGGUGCAACAAACAACCAUGACACGUUUAUACUUACGUAAUAAACCAGCUCAUUCCACACUUGCAUCUCAGAACUUAAAAUAAAAUUAAAACACACACACACACACACACACACACACACACACACACACACAGAAGGUAGGAUACAGUGGCUAAUGACUGUAAUCCCAGCACAUUGUUACGAUACUUACCAGCUUGCUGCAGUCCUGCAGCCUCCUGUAAUUACAGAAAAAAAAUUAAAAAAGCACCAAUCUGGAGAACUGUACCCUUAUGAUGCACAGACAGCUUUGCUUUCUGUGGCCACACCAGCCUGGGUGCACUAAAGAUGGGGGAGGUUCAGGUAAAAAAAAAAAGCUUCAAAGAAGAGGCUGACUCUCUCUCAGGGGUAAAUGCAGCUGGUGGCUUUAAAUUGAUGCCAGUGCUAAUUUACCAUUCUGAGACUCCAAGAGCCCUUAAGAAUUAUGCUAAAUUUACUCUGUCUUUGCUCUAUAUAUGAAAAAACAAAGGCUGAGUGACAGCACAUGUUUACAGCAUGGUCUACUGAAUUUUUGUUUGUUUUUUGAGAUGGAGUUUUGCUCUUGUUGCCCAGGCUGGAGUGCAAUGGCAUGAUCUUGGCUCACUGUAACCUCUGCCUCCCAGAUUCAAGUGUUCUUCCUGCUUCAGACUCCCAAGUAGCUGGGAUUAUGGGUUCCUGCCACCACAUCUGGCUAAUUUUGUAUUAUCAGUAGAUAUGAGAUUUCACUAUGUUGGCCAGGCUGGUCUUAAACUCCUGGCCUCAGGAGAUCCACCCACCUCAGCCUCCCAAACUGCUAGGAUUACAAGUCUACUGAAUAUUUUAAGCCCACUGUUGAGAACUACUGCUCAAAAAAAAAAAAAAAAAUUCCCUUCAAAAUCUUACUGUUCAUGGACAAUGAGUCUAGUUACCCAAGAGCUCUGAUGGAGAUACAAUGCUGUUUUCACAACUAUGAAAACAACAACUGUUCCGUGGCCCAUGGAUCAAGGAGUAAUUUCAACUUUCAAAUCUACUUUUUAAAAAUAUAUUUUAUAAGCCUAUAGCUGCCAUAAAUAGUGACUUCUUUGAUGGAUUUGGGCAAAGUAAAUUAAAAAUCUUCUGGAAAGGAUUCACCACUCUCUUUUUUUUUUUUUUCCUUUUCCCCCCUAUAUAGCACAUUACUGAAUAAGGAUCCACCAUUCUCAAUGCCAUUAAGAACAUCUGUGAUUCAUGGGAGGAGGUCAAAAUAUCCACCUUAACAGGAGUUUGGAAAUUAGGGUUUCACCAUGUUGGCUAGGCGCUGAUCAUGAAUUCCUGACCUCAAGUGAUCUGCCUGCCUCGAUGUCCCAAAUUUCUGGGAAUACAGGCAUGAGCCACUGCACCCAGUCAGAAAGCCUUUCUAAGGCACAAAGAAAGCAAGAGAGAGAAAUGGAUCCCUGGCAACAUGAUGCAGCUUCUGGAUCUUGCUGUACUGGACACCAGUGGCAUAUCUGGACUUCACAGUUAAGUGAACCAACAUUUCCUAUUUUUUGUGCAUCAGCUGUUGGGAUUGGGUUUGUAUCACUGGCAAAUAAUGAAUAUGCUGUCUCUUCAUUCAAAUACUGGUGUGACUAGGUUCAGAGAAUGAAAGCAGAUGUUCAGCUGUGAUAUCUGGAACAUAGGGUCCGGGAGGACCAGAAGCACAGUAUUGGGCAUUGAGAGCGUGAAGUACAGUCAGCACAUAGACCAAGCAUCCCUAUCCUGGACUUGCAGAAGAUGUUGUUGGUCUAUCACACCAUUUUUUUCUCCAGAGUCAGGACAAGCCAUUGCAACCUUGUUCUUCUCAACAUAGAGCUUCAGGGAGUCACUAGCAUUGGUUUGACGUUGUGCGUACAUUUUCCACUCCGGAAUUAAUACCUACAGAGUGCGAUGCAUUUGUCCAGGAAGAGUCAAUCAGCUUGGAGGUUCACUCAGUCUUACGGGAAUUUCUUCCUUGUGGAUUCUUUCAGAAUAUUGCAUGGUCAGUUUAUCAAAACUUCUAUAAAUGUGAAUCAUGAUAAAUUAUUGAGCUUGCUUUUUAUGUAUUUAAUUAAGUUAAUUAAUUUGUUUUAAGACAGAGUCUACCUCUGUUGUCCAGGCUGGAGUGCAGUAGCAUGAUCUCAGCUCACUGCAACCUCCACCUCCUGGGUUCAUGCAAUUCUCCUGCCUCAGCCUCUUAAGUAGCUGGGAUCACAGGCUCCCACCAUCAUGCCCAGCUAAUUUUUGUAGUUUUAGUAGAGAUGGGGUUUCAUCAUGUUGGCCAGGCUGGUCUCGAACUCCUGACCUCAGAUGAUCUACCCACCUCUGCUUCCCAAAGGGCUGGGAUUACAGGCAUGAGCCACUGGGCCCAGCCUCUUUUUAUAUAUUUUAAAUAUCUAUGUGUAACUGUAAAUUUGGUUCCUGAACCUACAUUCUUCCAUUGGUGUCUUUGCAUCUCUUAGUUGUUCCAGAGUAAUGAUAUUUUCAUUUGGUUUUGAGCACUGUCACGCACUCCUGUUUUGGGAGUUGUCUCUGUCAUUUACAGAGAAAGCCCAAGAGAUCUUGAAGCUGAUACAGUGGCAUUUCAUUUGGCAGGUACAGAUUUUCCUCCUGUAUAGAACAAUGCUUCCUUUUGCUAACCACCUUAAUUUCCUGCCCUUAUCAAUCUGAAAGUCAAUGAUUAUAGUUUAUUAUGUGGGUUUUCAUUUAGCCUUUCAUGUUUAAGUUCAACCAUUUCCCCAUAAGCAAGCAAGCAAAUUUCCUACUCAGGUAAUUCAAGUGCAGUUGCUAAGAGAAUUUGUAGCAGAGUUCCAUGGGCCUUAGCAGUCAGCUAGGACAGCCUAACAUCAUUGAAGCCUCUACCUAUUUUUCAAACCACCUUAAAAAUCCCUUAAAUAUUACAAAAGGAAUGCAAAUUACAUUAUGGCUGUAGAAAGGGUUGCUGUUUUGUCUUGAGACUUUAGUUGACCCAUAGAUUAAAUUUAAGAUGGUUUAGGACACAUAUAAAAGUCACCCAAUGCAAUGGUAAGGUUGAAAGUGCCUUCACUCUGGCCAAUUACAGGCGUUACUACUAUUCAUUGUCUUCAACAUUAAUUCUAAUAGCUAACAUUUAUCUGACAUUCACUUGUGCCACUGCCAAGUGCUUUGGUUGCAUUAUUGCGUUUAAUCCUACCAUAAGAAAGAUACACUUUUAUUUUAUUUAUUUAUUUUUCUUUUUUUUUGAGACAGAGUCUCGCUCUGUCACCCAGGCUGGAGUGCAGUGGCGCCAUCUUGGCUCACGGCAACCUUUGCUGCCCAGGUUCAAGCAAUUCUCCUGCCUCAGCCUCCUGAGUACCUGGAAUUACCAGUGUGCACCACCAUGACUGGCUAAUUUUUUUGUAUUUUCAGUAGAGAUGGGAUUUCACCAUGUUGAUCAAGCUGGUCUCGAAAUUCUGCCCUUGUGAUUCUCCCAACCUCUGCCACUGAAAGUGCUGGGAUUAGACAUGAGCCACCAUGCCAGGCCACUUUUCUAGUUUACAGAUACACCUGAGAGGUGACAGCCUGAGUAACGUGCCCACUUUUAUAACUAUUAAUUAAUUAGUGUACAGCCUGCAUUCGAUCCUAGAUGUGUAGGCGUCCAGAGCCCAUGUAGAUUAAAUGUGACUAUACAGACUUGCCUAUGUAUGCAUUAGGAUCAGAUGCAAGUAACAGGAAACCUCAAACUUGCAGUGGGUUAGUUUAUCCAUUUCCUUUAUGUUCAGGGGGUGUGGAGAGAAUCGUCCAGAGCUGGUAUGGCAUUCACCUGACACUGAAUGGCAUGAAUAGCAGUUUCUGCUGAUGUUCUAUUUUCAGCUACUUUUCUAUAAUAUGUCUGAGUACCAGAAUUUUAUAUUUUUGUAUCCAAUAAUAUUCUUAUCAUUGCUUUACAAAAUCAACUUAGAGCUUCAUUAAGAUGCCGUGUAUUAUUGUACAUUCAGACAUUUCAUGAGACAAAUUGGAGCCUCAAACCAAACAUUACAUAAAACAAAAGCUUGACAUUAUCAUUUGUCUACUGCACAAGGGUCAGUUCUGCCUUUUAAUACAAACACAAGAAGGGGCUUCUGCCAUUGAGGAAUAUUCUCACAGCCAGGCUUUUAUGUUCUUGGUAAUUAUUUUCCUACCUCACGUUUUGACCAGAAGCCAUGAGACAAAAACUUUGCUGGCCGCUGACCUCUCUCCUUUAUUCUGUGCCAAAAUCUGAGCUGGAAUGCGGAUCAUUCAAUUACGAAUUCCAGGUACUGUGCUAGGUGUCUCAUUAGCAACACAAAUGCUAAGAUAAUUCACUGUUCUUGUUUACUGGUCAGAGGGUUUCACAUGCCUGCCAUCUGCUUUAAUUCUCAUCUCUGAGAAUAUACAUUUACAUAAUCACAGAAGUCCAAGAGGAAGGAUGGGGUAUAUUUUUCAUUUGACGAAGUUCAUGCUCCCACUCUAUUUUAGGCACUGUUUAGAUGUGCAGAGGAGAGCUCCAAUAAACAACCUCUCUCUUUUCACUGCCCACGUUCAGAACCAAUUCACAGAUAAAAUAAAGGAGGAGGGCGGAUGAUAAAGGAAAAUCAUCUUUAUUUCUGAUACUGGUUGUGCGAAGGCAUAGCUGGGUGUGGGGCAUGGUGGGCUUCCUAAUACUGAAGGCUGGAGUUUGGCAGGCCUCUCAUUCCAUCUCAGGCAGUGUUAAUGACCAUAGGUUGGUGUCAGUUUGGGCUGCUGUCACAAGGUGCCAUAGACUGGGUGGUUUAUAAACAACAGAAAUUUAUUUCUGACAGUUCUGGAGGUUGGAAGUCUGAGAUCAGGGUGGCAGCAUGGUUGGGGUCUGGUGAGGGCCCUCUUCUGGUUUGCAGGUUUCUUGUAUCCUCACAUGAUAGAAAGAAGACGGAGCUCUCUCGGGUCCCUUUUAUAAGGGCACUAAUCCCAUUCAUGAGGGUUCCACCCUCAUGAGCUAACCACACCCCAAAAUUCUACCUUCUAAUACCAUCACCUCGGGGGUUAGAUUUCAACAUAUCAAUUUUGGGGGGCACAAACAUUCAGUCCAUCGCAGGUGAUCAACAAGGGGUCUGCCCCUGUAAAACCUGGGGGAUGGAGGAACCAAUCAGUGGUUGAAAAGGGAGGAGGGAAGGACUGAGAUAAAUUUCCUAGGGGAAAGCUGAGGCUAAACUGAGUGCUGUGCCUUCCCAUGGAAGGAGACCUCAGGAGUGAGCCAUCAUGUCCUCCCCUGACCAGUCUCUGCCCCCAUAGAGAUCAGACCAGAAACAUCAGAGGAAGCUCCCCUUGAUUUGCAGAGAAACUCAACUUCUGGUUUCUCCAGCUUUUCCCUUCACCAACUCCUGCUCCUCUGGUAGAGGCAAAGGCUUCCUUGAAGCUGAAGUCCCCUCUUAUGCCUUCAGUAUAUCAUCUCUGUGACUGUCCCUGCAGUCAGAUGAUCCGUAUCUUCGUAUCACCCUUCUCCCUGACUGCCUUUCCCUGCGAGCAGGCUGUGGGCAUUUUUGGUUUUGGAUGCUGAGAUGUAGGUGGACAUUUCUGGGGAGAGGACCAUUCUCAGCCUAAAAGGUAGAUCCUUUCUAAAGCACAAAGUUCUUUUGGCCCUUUGCUCUUCUUUUUUCUUCAUGCCUGGGAGGGGAGGAUGGGGCCCAGAGGGACAUAGCCAACUCGUGAUGAGAAGGCAGCUAAUACAAGAAUGAGAAGGAGGGGCCUCCUGCCAAGGACAUGAAGCAGAACUGGGAAGCACUUGGAUCCCUAACAACGCUGUCCCUGAUGACAUUUUCCCUGAUGACAUUGUGGAGAUCCCAGAGGGGACCUGGACCAGUGUCCCAAAGAUCCCCAAAGGGUAUUAUCCCGUGGUGUAUCAGAACCUAGGAAUAUUACAUUUUCAUGAUCAGUUGCUAUAGUUUAAUUUUUGAAAUACUCUUUUGGAGACAAAUACUUUACUCAACAUAUUCUGAUGUCUAAGGCAAAUUAGUACUUUUGUGGCUAAAAUUAUUUAAUUUUCUUUUUUUCAAACUUGUAUUAAUAUAGCUUAAAGGUCAAACGGAAGAGGAGGAUCAAUGGGCUAGAAGACUGAGAACAAUCUGAAGGACAAACCUGUAUCUCCAACACUAACGAUUCCUAACUAUGCAAGCUAGAAACUCAGGGAGCUCCUAGUCCAGACAUUCUCAUACUGUGUUACCUGGUGCCUUGGACUUCCCUGGAGGCGCUUUUAGGCUUCCCUAAGGGGCUGUAGGGAGGCUGAGUGGAUGGGCUCCGGCCCCACACUUGUUCAAACAGAACACUUCCACUUUUAUCUGCACUCUCUACUGAGCUCGUUACUCUUUGACAUGGUUUGGCUCUGUCCCCACCCAAAUCUCCCCUUGAAUUGUAAUAAUCCCCAUGUGUCAAGGGCGGGACACAGGAUUUGAUCUGGGGGUCCAAUUUGCACAAAAUGUGUGAAUGUACAAUAAUACACCACAUCUUAAUGAAGCUCUGAGUUGAUUUUGUAAAGCAGAGAUAAUUGAAUCAUGGGGGCAGUUCUGUCAUACUGUUCUCAGGGUAGUGAAUAAGUCUCAUGAGAUCUGAUGGUUUUAUAAAUGGGAGUUCCCCAGCACAAGCUUUCUUGCCUGCAGCCAUGUAAGAUGUGCCUUUGCUUCUCCUUUGCCUUCCACCAAGAUUAGGAGGCCUCCCCAGUCAUGCGAAACUGGGACUCCAUUAAACCUCUUUCCUUUAUAAAUUACCCAGUCUUGGGUAUGUCUUUAUUAGCAGCAUGAGAACAGAUUAAUACAUGCUUGUAACAAUUCAGGAGAAAACUAUGGAGAAACUUUAUGUUGUCAAAUUAAGUUCAAACUUUGUUGUUAAGUCAAAAUUAAAUUUUAAAACCAUGUAUCUGUUCUAACAUCAUUAUUUUGUAAAUAAGGAAGCUGACACCCAGCAAAGUUCAAAUGAUCAAAUGAUUAAGUGGCAGACUCAACUUAGUUUCCAAUACCUCCCUUCCCAUUCCCUGUGAAUGCUCAACUUUCACAGAUAAUGAAAGAGGGAGUUUCUGUCAAGUGUUCAUCUCUAUAAGACUACAUUUCUCUGGAAUAGCUCACCAUCCAGGAGCCUCACAGUAGAAAUGCCAUAGGGCUUUAAAUCACAGCCAUAGAGAAAAAGGAUACAAUAGAAAUGAGAAUUCCAGACAUAGCUGGACUUCAGGGUUGAUCAGGUUCUCAUUCUGUAAGCUCUGCUGUCUUUAAUAGGCUAAUUCAGACCAGUUCCCCACCUAAUAGUUGCCUGUGGGGACAAGCAUGGGAAUCCUAAAAUCCUGAAAGAAUCCCGACCUUUGUUCUGACGGUGUAUCUAUGAACUGAUAACUACAGCAAGCCAUCUUUGCUUCUAAGGAUAACAGCCAUGGGUUCUAGCUGCCUGCCUAAUAUUCUCUUUGUCUUACCUGUGGUUAUUCACAGUUUUAAGAGUAUUUCUCUUACUGAGUUAUCUCAUGUGAUCUAGCGAUAACUUUCCUUAUUUUUCCCAGCUCUUUUUUUGUGUGAAACCAUUACCUGAAGUGUUUCUUCCUACUGCUUUGUGAUUCUAGAGUUUGAUGUUAUGCCCCUUCAGUGCUGGCUUCAUUUUUGACAUUGUCUGGAUUAGUCAGGUUGCCUAGAGAGACAGAACUGGUAGGAUGGAUGUAUAUGUGAAGGAGAGUUUAUUAAGGAGAAUUACACAAUCACAAGGUGAAGUCCCACAAUAAGCUGUCUGCAAGCCAAGGAGCAAGGAAGCCAGUCCAAGUCCCAAAACCUCAAAAUAGGGGAGCCGACACUGCGGCCCUCAGACUGUGGCUGAAGACCCGAGAGCCCUUAGCAAAGCACUGGUUUAAGUCCAUGAGUCCGAAAGGUGAAGAAGUUGGAGUCUGAUGUUCAAGGGCAGGAAGCAUCCAGCAUGGGAGAAAGAUGGAGGCCACAGGACUCAGAGAGUCUAUUCAGUCCACUUUCUCCUGCCUGCUUUAUUCUAGCUAUUGGCAACUGAUUGGAUGGUGCCCACCCAGAUUGGGGGUGGAUCUGCCUCUCCCAGUCCACCGACUUAUAUGUUAAUCUCCUUUGGCAACACCCUCACAGACACACCCACGAACAAUACUUGGCAUCCUUCAAUCCAAUCAAGUUGACAUUCAAUAUUAACCAUCACAUUGUCUAACCUGAAAACCUGAGGGGAUUUGCUCAAAACAGCAUUUGCCAUCUGAGUGAUCGGGAGAGUGGCCUGUUUAUCUUUUCUGAUGGAUGGAGUUGAGUUUAUAUUGCCUCUGCCGUGUUUCUUAGGCGUCCUCUUUGUGGAGGUGACUGUGAUGUAUGAGGCCGAGGUGUAGGGAAAUAAGGAAAGCCCCCUAGUGAGCCCAUGUUGCUCAGGGGAACAGAUCACACCAGAUGUCUCUGGCUUCAAACACUGUGUUUGCAGGCCCUCUCCAUCCCUGGCCAGGAGCGAGGAAUUGGGAACGGAGCUGUGGAUUACGUCCAGAUUCUGAACUUUUACAACAUCCCUGUGCUUUCUAUUUUGUCUGGAUUAGUAGCAAAUCCCUUAAAUCAAAAUGACCUGUUUCUUUGUUUCCAAAGGACAAUAAAAAAGGAUAAAGUUGGCUUGGGGAAAGGAGCCCUUGGGAAAAGGAGCCUCAUGACUCAGGGAGGAUGAGGAAGCACAGAAAAAGGGCUGAGAGCAGCCCCAGCAGAGGACUUAGCAAGGGAAGGCCCGGAUUCUUGACAGAGUUCUUGGUCCCAAGGGUAUGUAAAAGGAGGAUAAGAGGGGAAGAGACAGAGGGAGGCUCUUUAAGGAUUUAAGGAAUAUUUCAGUCAAAACACUAUGCAGUUGGAGUUUUAUUUGCAGGAACUUAAGCAAAUAAAUUGAAAGAAGAAAACCAUACAGGCAAUAUUUUUUUAUGGAAGUGUAUAUAUAGCUGUAUAGAAUAUUGUAUUUGCUGUAAUAGCAAAAAUGAAAAGCAUUUUGAAUGAAGACAGAGAAACAAUAAAUAAACCAAAAUAGCAAUACAAUUAAAACUUUCUGCAUCCAUUGUGAGAAACAAAUGGCUCUCUAGAACUGUGUUGGCCAAGUGGCUACUGAAGUUCACUUCUGAAUGAAUUCCAAUGAAAUGGAAGAAAAGAUUCAGUUCCUCAGUUACGCUAGCCUUUCCGGUGCUCAAUAGCAGCAUGUGACUACUGUCGAGGGCAAUGAGCAUUUUCAUUAUCACAGAAAGUCCUGUUGGACAGCCCUGCUCUAGAAAGUUGGGAAAGUUUACAUGUGGCUGUUCAUAUGAAGCAAAAAGUAGCAUGAAACCAACAUACAAAUUACAUACAUGCAUGAAGAAAGAUUAGUCAAGGCCAGGGAGCAUUCAAAUUAUUUCCACCAGGGAAAUCAAUGCAUUAGGUGAAUUUACAAGUCACUUUUUAGAGUACUCUAGAGUUCCAUUACUAAUACAUAGCUAAUACAUGACUAAUACAUAAUGUUUUUGAAAACUUUCUUCAGGAAGCCAAUUGUAACUGAGGCUGCUGGGAUGAACAUCGAGAAGCGGUAGAGGAAGCGUCAGGGGAUGGAGCAAGGUUCUAGUGCUGGCUUUGUGACUAAAAUAGCUCUAUGAUCUCAUGGCAGUCACACUAAGUCUACUGGCCCCUUUUGUCAGAUGUUCUCUAAGGUCUCUUUCAAUGUAAAGAAAUGGGGGUGGUUCCGCCAUGUUCUCACUGACAAGUGGGAGUUGAACAAUGAGAGAACACAUGGACACAGGGAGGGGAACGUCACCCACUAAGUCCUCUCGGGGGAUGGGGAGCAAGAGGAGGGAGGCCAUCAGGACACGUACCUAAUGCAUGGGGGCUUAAAACCUAAUUGAUGGGUUGACAGGUGCAGCAAACCACCAUGGCACAUGUAUACCUAUGAAACAGACCUACACGUUCCGCACAUGUAUCCCAGAACUUAAAGUUUAAAAGAAAUAGUGAUUAAAAAAAACAGUGUGUAGCACCUCCCACCCUGUCUCAUGCUCCUGCUUCUACCGUGUGGAGACGCCUCACUCUCUGUUUUCCUUUUGCCAUGACUGUAAGCUUCCUGAUGCCUUCCCAGAAACAGAAGCCAGAAGCCACUAUGCUUCCUGUACAGUCUACAGAACUGGAGAAGAAUCCCUGACUUCAGAACCCCUGAGGCCCUGCAAGUGAUUUGUAUUAGAGCAUCCCUGCAGUUGACUGUCUGACAGUCACCAGAUGCUGGAUUGAUCUGUAAGUGCCAGAAGUGCACAAAGACUUCACUCCAGAAGAAAGAGCUCUGGGCUGGAUUGUGACUCCAGCGCCCUGGAGGACUGGCUGUGUUUAUGUCCUGUCUGAAGCCUUUAAAAAUACUGUACAGACAUGUGAGAAACCAGUUUACUUGACUCCUAUUUAAAAAAAGAAGGAAAAGAAAACUCACGCUUCUGCUCGACUUAGAGAUAGCAGCCAGCGUGCCCGGAGAAUAGGAAGCUACAUCACCAACAUUUCCAGCUGUUAGCAUCAGGGUGUUAGCUGGUAGUUUUCCCUUCAGCACCAAUUAAUGUUCACCUGGAUGUUUUGAUUUGAAUACUUUUGAAAUCUCUUCUGUCAAGGUACUACUUAGCAGUUUAGUUGCUACAAGAAACUGUCUAUAUUUAUGUCUAAAAAGUUUUACAGUGCCUUUUAAAAUGUUCUCACCAAACCACUCAAGAUUGUAUCAGCAGUAAGUGUGUCAUCCACACGAAUAUCCGUGGAGUCUCACCAUGAAUAACGUGAUUAAGGAGCAUAAUGUGUGGACGCCCAGCCCAUCGGGAGCUUCAUCAGCCUGACUCUCAGGUCUGCUGCAGUUUGCUGGCGGUCCACUCCAGACACUGUUCACCUGGGUAUCGCCUGGCUUCAGAACAGCAAAGAUUGUGCCUGCUCCUUCCUCUGGAAGCUUCAUCCCAGAGUGCCACCAGCCUGUUGCCAGCUGGAGCUCUCCUAUAUGAGGUGUCUGUCAACUCCUGUUGGGAGACCUUCAAUAAAAUUCAACAUCCCUUCGUGCUAAAAACCCUCAAUAAAUGAGAUAUUGAUGGAACAUAUAUCAAAAUAAUAAGAGCUAUUUAUGACAAACCCAUAGUCAAUAUCAUACUGAAUGGGCAAAAGCUGGAAGCAUUCCCUUUGAAAACCAGCACAAGGCAAGAUGCCCUUUCUCACCACUCCUAUUCAACAUUGUAUUGGAAGUUCUAGCCAGGGCAAUCAGGCAAGAGAAAGAACAAAAAGGUAUUCAAAUAGGAAGAAAGGAAGUCAAAUUGGCUUUGUCUGCAGAUGACAUGAUUGCAUAUUUAGAAAACUCCGUGUCUCAGCCCCAAAACUCCUUAAGCUCAUAAGCAACUUCAGCAAAGCUUCGGGAUACAAAGUCAAUGCACAAAAAUCACGAGCAUUCCUAUACACCAAAAAUAGACAAGCACAGAGUCAAAUCAUAUGUGAACUCUCAUUCACACUUGCUACAAAGAGAAUAAAAUACCUAGGAAUACAACUUACAAGGGACUUGAAGAACCUCUUCAAGGAGAACUACAAACCACUGCUAAAGAAAAUAAAAGAGGACACAAGCAACUGGAAAAAAAUUCCAUGCUCAUGGAUAAAAAGAAUCAAUAUUGUGAAAUGGCCAUACUGCCUGAAGUAAUUUACAGAUUUUGCUAUUCCCAUCACGCUACCAUUGACUUUCUUUGCAGAACUAGGAAAAAACUACUUUAAAUUUCAUAUGGAACCAAAAAUGAGCCCGUAUAGCCAAGACAAUUCUAAAAAGAACAAAGCCGGAGGCAUCAUGCUACCUGCCUUCAAACUAUACUACAAGGUUAUAGUAAACAAAACAGCAUGGUACUGCUACAAAAACAGACAUAUAGACCAAUGGAGAAAACAGAGGCCUCAGAAAUAAUGCCACACAUCUACAACCAUAUGAUCUUUGACAAACCUGACAAAAACCAGCAAAAAGGAAAGGAUUCCCUAUAUAAUAAAUGGUGCUGAGAAAACUGGCUAGCCAUAUGCAGAAAACAGAAAUUGGACUCCUUCCUUAUACCUUAUACAAAAAGUAACUCAAGAUGGAUUAAAGACUUAAAUGUAAAAUCUGAAACUGUAAAACCCUAGAAGAAAACCUAGUCAAUACCAUUCAGUUCCAUACGCAUGGGCAAAGACUUCAUGACUAAAAUACCAAAAGCAAUUGCAACAAAAGCCAGAAUUGACAAAUGGGAUCUAAACUAAAGAGCUUCUGCACAGCAAAAGAAAGUAUCAUCAAGGUGAACAGGCAACCUACCAAAUGGGAGAAAAUUUUUGCAAUCUAUCCAUCUAACAAAGAAUACCCAGAAUCUACAAGGAACUUAAACAAAUUUAUGAGAAAAAAACAAAAAACCCCAUCAAAAAGUGGGCAAAGGAUAUGAACAGACAGUUUUCAAAAAGAAGACAUUUAUGAGGUCAACAAACAUAUGAAAAAAAGCUCAUCAUCACUGGUCAUUAGAGAAAUGCACGUCAAAACCACAAUGAGAUACCAUCUCAUGCCAGUUAGAAUGGCAAUCAUUUAAAAGUCAGGAAACAACAGAUGCUCAAGAGGAUGUGGAGAAAUAGGAAUGCUUUUACACUGUUGGUAGGAGUGUAAAUUAGUUCAACCAUUGUGGAAGACAGUGUGAUGAUUCCUCAAGGAUCUAGAACCAGAAAUACCAUUUGGCCCAGCAAUCUCAUUACUGGGUAUAUACUGAAAGGUGUAUAAAUCAUUCUACUCUAAAGUCCCAUGCACACACAUGUUUAUUGCAGAACUAUUUACAAUAGCAAAGACUUGGAACCAAUCCAAAUUCCUAUCAAUGAUAGACUGGAUAAAGAAAAUGUGGCACAUACACCAUGGAAUACUAUGCAGCCAUAAAAAAAGAAUGAGUUCAUGUCCUUUGCAGGGGCAUGGAUGAAGCUGGAAACCGUCAUUCUCAGCAAACUAACACAGGAACUGAAAACCAAACACUGCAUGUUCUCACUCAUAAGUAGGAGCUGAAUAAUGAGAACACAUGGAUACAGGGAGGGGAACAUCAUACACUGGGGCCUGUCAGGGGUGGAGGGCAAGAAAAGAGAGAACAUUAGGACAAAUGCCUAAUGCAUGCGGGUCUAAAAACCUAGAUGAUGGAUUGAUUGACCCAUCAUGCAUUAGGUAUUUGUCCUAAAAGCACAUUUACCUAUGUAAUCAACCUGCACAUUACCUAUGUAACCAACCUAUUUGUCCUAAUAGCACAGGUUUACCUAUGUAACCAAUCUGCACAUUGCCUAUGCAACCAACCUGCAAGUUCUGCACAUGUAUUCCAGAACUUACGGUUUAAAAAAAAAGAAUGAUAAUCAUUUGAAACUUUAAUACACAUGAUAAAAUGAGCAUUUACUGA